GGGUGAGUAACACGUGGAUAACCUACCUAUAAGACUGGGAUAACUUCGGGAAACCGGAGCUAAUACCGGAUAAUAUUUUGAACCGCAUGGUUCAAAAGUGAAAGACGGUCUUGCUGUCACUUAUAGAUGGAUCCGCGCUGCAUUAGCUAGUUGGUAAGGUAACGGCUUACCAAGGCAACGAUGCAUAGCCGACCUGAGAGGGUGAUCGGCCACACUGGAACUGAGACACGGUCCAGACUCCUACGGGAGGCAGCAGUAGGGAAUCUUCCGCAAUGGGCGAAAGCCUGACGGAGCAACGCCGCGUGAGUGAUGAAGGUCUUCGGAUCGUAAAACUCUGUUAUUAGGGAAGAACAUAUGUGUAAGUAACUGUGCACAUCUUGACGGUACCUAAUCAGAAAGCCACGGCUAACUACGUGCCAGCAGCCGCGGUAAUACGUAGGUGGCAAGCGUUAUCCGGAAUUAUUGGGCGUAAAGCGCGCGUAGGCGGUUUUUUAAGUCUGAUGUGAAAGCCCACGGCUCAACCGUGGAGGGUCAUUGGAAACUGGAAAACUUGAGUGCAGAAGAGGAAAGUGGAAUUCCAUGUGUAGCGGUGAAAUGCGCA
rnacentral:rRNA from 1 species